GUAGCAACAACAGCUGCUGCUGGUGGAGUCGUGGCAAAGGAGGCACCCGGGUCUGAAAAAGCCACCGACGUAUAUUCGGUUUUAUGAUAUAGUACAUUUUUGUGUUACUUUAGUAAUGCAUCAAAAGCUAAUAAAUUCAAACCAAGAAGGAAAAGUGCUAACAGUGAGUGGUGGGCCGAGUUGCGCAAAGAGGAAGACGAGAGAAUUGCUGAAUGGUCCAAGAACUAUUGGGACAGGGCAAAAGAAAGGAGAGAGGGUGUAGGUAGUGAUGCACCAGCUAGCGAUGACAUACUUACAGCUACAUCAGGCUGUCGUGCCAUUGCUCCUAAUGCUGACA